GAUGAACGCUAGCGGGAGGCUUAAUACAUGCAAGUCGAGGGGUAACAUGAGAGCUUGCUCUUGAUGACGACCGGCGCACGGGUGAGUAACGCGUACACAAUCUACCUUUAACAGGGGGAUAGCCUCGGGAAACUGAGAUUAAUACCCCAUGGUUCCUAAAUAUGGCAUCAUAUUAUGGAUAAAGUUCCGGCGGUUAAAGAUGAGUGUGCGUCCUAUUAGCUUGUUGGUAAGGUAACGGCUUACCAAGGCUUCGAUAGGUAGGGGGCGUGAGAGCGUGACCCCCCACACGGGUACUGAGACACGGACCCGACUCCUACGGGAGGCAGCAGUAAGGAAUAUUGGACAAUGGUGGAAACACUGAUCCAGCCAUCCCGCGUGCAGGAAGACGGCCCUAUGGGUUGUAAACUGCUUUUAUUUGGAAAGAAUGGCACUGAUUUAUUAGUGUUUGACGGUACCUUAUGAAUAAGCACCGGCUAACUCCG
rnacentral:rRNA from 1 species